UCCUACGGGAGGCAGCAGUAAGGAAUAUUGGUCAAUGGGCGCAAGCCUGAACCAGCCAUGCCGCGUGGACGGCCCUAUGGGUUGUAAACUCUGAAGGUACCUGAAGAAUAAGCAUCGGCUAACUCCGUGCCAGCAGCCGCGGUAAUACGGAGGAUGCAAGCGUUAUCCGGAUUCAUUGGGUUUAAAGGGUGCGCAGGCGGAUUGGUAAGUCAGGGGUGAAAUCCCACAGCUCAACUGUGGAACUGCCUUUGAUACUGUCAGUCUAGAGUAUAGUUGAAGUUGGCGGAAUGUGUCAUGUAGCGGUGAAAUGCUUAGAUAUGACACAGAACACCGAUCGCGAAGGCAGCUAGCUAAGCUAUAACUGACGCUCAUGCACGAAAGCGUGGGGAUCAAACAGGAUUAGAUACCCUGGUAGUCCACGCUGUAAACGAUGAUUACUCGAUGUUGGCGAUACACAGUCAGCGUCUCAAUAAGUAAUCCACCUGGGGAGUACGAUCGCAAGAUUGAAACUCAAAGGAAUUGACGG
rnacentral:rRNA from 1 species